AGUGAACGCUGGCGGUAGGCCUAACACAUGCAAGUCGAACGGCAGCACAGUAAUAGCUUGCUCUUACGGGUGGCGAGUGGCGGACGGGUGAGGAAUACAUCGGAAUCUACUUUUUCGUGGGGGAUAACGUAGGUGAACUUACGCUAAUACCGCAUACGACCUACGGGUGAAAGCAGGGGAUCUUCUGACCUUGCGCGGUUGAAUGAGCCGAUGUCGGAUUAGCUAGUUGGCGGGGUAAAGGCCCAGCAAGGCGACGAUCCGUAGCUGGUCUGAGAGGAUGAUAAGCGACACUGGAACUGAGACACGGUCCAGACUCCUACGGGAGGCAGCAGUGGGGAAUAUUAGACAAUGGGCGCAAGCAUGAUCCAGUCAUACCGAGUGGGUGAAGAAGGCGUUCGGGUUGUAAAGCCCUUUUGUUGGGAAAGAAAAGCAGCAGGUUAAUACCACGCUGUUCUGACGGUAACCAAAGAAUAAGCACCGGCUAACUUCGUG
rnacentral:rRNA from 1 species